AACGAACGCUGGCGGCAGGCUUAACACAUGCAAGUCGAGCGCCCCGCAAGGGGAGCGGCAGACGGGUGAGUAACGCGUGGGAAUCUACCCAUCUCUACGGAAUAACGCAUGGAAACGCGUGCUAAUACCGUAUACGUCCUUCGGGAGAAAGAUUUAUCGGAGAUGGAUGAGCCCGCGUUGGAUUAGCUAGAUGGUGGGUAAAGGCCUACCAAGGCGACGAUCCAUAGCUGGUCUGAGAGGAUGAUCAGCCACACUGGGACUGAGGCACGGCCCAGACUCCUACGGGAGGCAGCAGUGGGGAAUAUUGGACAAUGGGCGCAAGCCUGAUCCAGCCAUGCCGCGUGAGUGAUGAAGGCCCUUGGGUUGUAAAGCUCAUUCACCGGUGAAGAUAAUGACGGUAACCGGAGAAGAAGCCCCGGCUAACUUCGUGCCAGCCGCCGCAGUAACAC
rnacentral:rRNA from 1 species